rnacentral:rRNA from 1 species
CCUACGGGAGGCAGCAGUGGGGAAUAUUGGACAAUGGGCGAAAGCCUGAUCCAGCAAUGCCGCGUGAGUGAUGAAGGCCUUAGGGUUGUAAAGCUCUUUUACCAGGGAUGAUAAUGACAGUACCUGGAGAAUAAGCUCCGGCUAACUCCGUGCCAGCAGCCGCGGUAAUACGGAGGGAGCUAGCGUUGUUCGGAAUUACUGGGCGUAAAGCGUACGUAGGCGGUUAUUCAAGUCAGAGGUGAAAGCCUGGAGCUCAACUCCAGAACUGCCUUUGAAACUAGAUAGCUAGAAUCUUGGAGAGGUGAGUGGAAUUCCGAGUGUAGAGGUGAAAUUCGUAGAUAUUCGGAAGAACACCAGUGGCGAAGGCGACUCACUGGACAAGUAUUGACGCUGAGGUACGAAAGCGUGGGGAGCAAACAGGAUUAGAUACCCUGGUAGUCCACGCCGUAAACGAUGAUAACUAGCUGUUCGGGCUCUACGAGCUUGAGUGGCGCAGCUAACGCAUUAAGUUAUCCGCCUGGGGAGUACGGUCGCAAGAUUAAAACGUUAAAGAGUAGUACGGACGUGAGACGUGCCGACGGACGACACCGAGGGAGGAGG